UACGGGAGGCAGCAGUGGGGAAUCUUCCGCAAUGGACGAAAGUCUGACGGAGCAACGCCGCGUGAGUGAUGACGGCCUUCGGGUUGUAAAGCUCUGUUAAUCGGGACGAAAGGCCUUCUUGCGAAUAGUGAGAAGGAUUGACGGUACCGGAAUAGAAAGCCACGGCUAACUACGUGCCAGCAGCCGCGGUAAUACGUAGGUGGCAAGCGUUGUCCGGAAUUAUUGGGCGUAAAGCGCGCGCAGGCGGAUAGGUCAGUCUGUCUUAAAAGUUCGGGGCUUAACCCCGUGAUGGGAUGGAAACUGCCAAUCUAGAGUAUCGGAGAGGAAAGUGGAAUUCCUAGUGUAGCGGUGAAAUGCGUAGAUAUUAGGAAGAACACCAGUGGCGAAGGCGACUUUCUGGACGAAAACUGACGCUGAGGCGCGAAAGCCAGGGGAGCGAACGGGAUUAGAUACCCCGGUAGUCCUGGCCGUAAACGAUGGGUACUAGGUGUAGGAGGUAUCGACACCUUCUGUGCCGGAGUUAACGCAAUAAGUACCCCGCCUGGGGAGUACGACCGCAAGGUUGAAACUCAAAGGAAUUGACGGGGGCCCGCACAAG
rnacentral:rRNA from 1 species